rnacentral:siRNA from 1 species
UUGUGGAAACAUUGUGUCU